GGGGAAGGAACCUUCUAGCCUUUCACCAGCUGGCAUAGAAGACUUCGCCUCCCUUCCCUGUCCCCGCGCCUGUCAACACGUCUGAUGAUAACACUAAGGCCACAGGCAAAGCAGUCAGAGGGAAAAGCAGGCUUCCUGCUGAGUAAAGAUGCUGUGCUGGACUCGAUCCCAGGACCCUGGGAUUGUGACCUGAGCUGAAGGCAGACACUUAACCCACUGAGCCACCCAGGCACUCCAGGACUCUGUUGGGUCUACGUUCUUGCUCCUCAAAGUGCGGGCCACAGAUCAGAAGCACCUGUCGUGUAUGGAACUGGUUAGAAAUGCAGAAUCUGGGGCCUCACCUGAGACCCUCUGGAAUCAGAAUCUACCUCAUAACAAAAU
rnacentral:lncRNA from 1 species